CCUACGGGGGGCAGCAGUGGGGAAUCUUGGACAAUGGGCGAAAGCCUGAUCCAGCAAUGCCGCGUGCGUGAAGAAGGCCUUCGGGUUGUAAAGCGCUUUUGUCGGGGAGGAAAUCCUAACUUCUAAUAAAGGUUGGGGAUGACAGUACCCGAAGAAUAAGCACCGGCUAACUACGUGCCAGCAGCCGCGGUAAUACGUAGGGUGCAAGCGUUAAUCGGAAUUACUGGGCGUAAAGCGUCCGCAGGUGGCUUGAUAAGAUAGACGUGAAAUCCCUGGGCUCAACCUAGGAAUUGCGUAUAUGACUGUCUCGCUAGAGUAUGGGAGAGGGGGGUGGAAUUCCGCGUGUAGCAGUGAAAUGCGUAGAGAUGCGGAGGAACACCGAUGGCGAAGGCAACCCCCUGGCCUAAUACUGACACUCAUGGACGAAAGCGUGGGGAGCAAACAGGAUUAGAUACCCGGGUAGUC
rnacentral:rRNA from 1 species